UUGAACGCUGGCGGCAUGCCUUACACAUGCAAGUCGAACGGCAGCACGGGAGUAAUCCUGGUGGCGAGUGGCGAACGGGUGAGUAAUAUAUCGGAACGUGCCCAGUCGUGGGGGAUAACGCAGCGAAAGCUGUGCUAAUACCGCAUACGAUCUAUGGAUGAAAGCGGGGGAUCGCAAGACCUCGCGCGAUUGGAGCGGCCGAUAUCAGAUUAGGUUGUUGGUGGGGUAAAGGCCCACCAAGCCGACGAUCUGUAGCUGGUCUGAGAGGACGACCAGCCACACUGGGACUGAGACACGGCCCAGACUCCUACGGGAGGCAGCAGUGGGGAAUUUUGGACAAUGGGCGCAAGCCUGAUCCAGCAAUGCCGCGUGCAGGAUGAAGGCCUUCGGGUUGUAAACUGCUUUUGUACGGAACGAAACGGUCUUUUCUAAUACAGAGGACUAAUGACGGUACCGUAAGAAUAAG
rnacentral:rRNA from 1 species